rnacentral:lncRNA from 1 species
GUGAGGAUUGGGGCCCUCAUUCCUAUGUAUCCUUAUAGUGCAAAAAGGAAUUCAGAGCUCCGUAAUUCAUAGAACUAAUUACGGGAAAUGAAAAGAAGUGUGAUAAUGGCAUGGUCUGAACCAAAGGAUAACAUGAUUUGAACUCCAAAAGGGGAUAAAAUCUGAACCCAAGAGUAAAAUUGACGUGAACUAUAUGUGGGGUAGCCG